UACGGGAGGCAGCAGUGAGGAAUAUUGGUCAAUGGGCGAGAGCCUGAACCAGCCAUGCCGCGUGAGGGAAUGAGGCCCUACGGGUCGUGAACCUCUUUUACUCGGGGACAAGGCGUCGCACGUGAUGCGACGUUGAGGGUACCGAGGGAAUAAGCGUCGGCUAACUCCGUGCCAGCAGCCGCGGUAAU
rnacentral:rRNA from 1 species